UCGGAAUAUAUUGUAAUGGUGAGCAUAUUUGGUUUGGGACUAACAGGUGAGAGUUCAAGUCUCUCUAUUCCGAU
rnacentral:tRNA from 1 species